rnacentral:rRNA from 1 species
GACGAACGCUGGCGGCGUGCCUAAUACAUGCAAGUAGAACGCAGUUGCGAACGGGUGAGUAACGCGUAGGUAACUGCCUCAUAGCGGGGGAUAACUAUUGGAAACGAUAGGUAAUACCGCAUACUGUGAGAUGGACCUGCGUUGAAUUAGCUAGUUGGUGAGGUAAAGGCGCACCAAGGCGACGAUACAUAUCCGACCUGAGAGGGGGAUCGGCCACACUGGGACCGGGACACGACCCAGAUCCCGACGGGAGGCAGCAGUAGGGAAUAGUCGGAAAUGGACGGAAGUCUGACGGAGCAACGCCGCGUGAGUGAAGAAGGAUUUCGGAUCGUAAAGCUCUGUUGUUAGAGAAGCGGUAACUACACAGAAAGGGACGGCUAACUACGUGCCAGCAGCCGCGGUAAUUC